rnacentral:rRNA from 1 species
UACCAGACUCCUACGGGAGGCAGCAGUGGGGGAUAUUGCACAAUGGGGGGAACCCUGAUGCAGCGACGCCGCGUGGGUGAAGGAGUAUUUCGGUAUGUAAAGCCCUAUCGGCAGGGAAGAAGCAAGACAGUACCUGACUAAGAAGCCCCGGCUAACUACGUGCCAGCAGCCGCGGUAAUACGUAGGGGGCAAGCGUUAUCCGGAUUUACUGGGUGUAAAGGGGGCGCAGACGGCGAUGCAAGCCAGGAGUGAAAGCCCGGGGCCCAACCCCGGGACUGCUCUUGGAACUGCGUGGCUGGAGUGCAGGAGGGGCAGGCGGAAUUCCUGGUGUAGCGGUGAAAUGCGUAGAUAUCAGGAGGAACACCGGUGGCGAAGGCGGCCUGCUGGACUGCAACUGACGUUGAGGCCCGAAAGCGUGGGGAGCAAACAGGAUUAGAUACCCGUGUA